rnacentral:rRNA from 1 species
GAUGAACGCUGGCGGCGUGCUUAACACAUGCAAGUCGAACGCUGAAACCCUGAGAUUUGUCGGGUGGGGUUAGCGGCGGACGGGUGAGUAACACGUGAGUAACCUGCCCCUUUCUCUGGGAUAACGCCGGGAAACGGGUGCUAAUACUGGAUAAUACCUGAUCCUGGCAUGGGGAGUGGUGGAACGGGGUUUUCUGGUGUGGGAUGGGCGGGCGGCCGGUCAGCUAGUUGGUGGGGUGAGGGCCUACCAAGGCCAGGACGGGUAGCGGGCCGGAGAGGGGGGUCGGUGACACUUCAACUGGGACACGGGCCAGGCCCCUGCGGGAUGCAGCAGUCGGCAGUGUUGCACAUUGGGCGAAGGCCUGAUGCAGCAAGCCGCCGCGGGUCAUGAAGGCUUUCGGCUUUCGGGUUGCUUUUCUUUGGCGCGAAUAGCCGCGCCGCAACUGUGGGUUGUGGUGACGGUACCGGAUCAAGAAGCGCCGGCUAACUACGUG